GGGGAAUAUUGGGCAAUGGGCGAAAGCCUGACCCAGCAACGCCGCGUGAGGGAAGAAGGUUUUCGGAUUGUAAACCUCUGUCCUUGGUGACGAAGGAAGUGACGGUAGCCAAGGAGGAAGCCCCGGCUAACUACGUGCCAGCAGCCGCGGUAAUACGUAGGGGGCGAGCGUUGUCCGGAAUGACUGGGCGUAAAGGGCGUGUAGGCGGCGAACUAAGUUUGGAGUGAAAGUCCUGCUUUCAAGGUGGGAAUUGCUUUGGAAACUGGUUUGCUUGAGUGCGGAAGAGGUAAGUGGAAUUCCCAGUGUAGCGGUGAAAUGCGUAGAGAUUGGGAGGAACACCAGUGGCGAAGGCGACUUACUGGGCCGUAACUGACGCUGAGGCGCGAAAGCGUGGGGAGCGAAC
rnacentral:rRNA from 1 species